AAUCCAUGUUGAGGGCACUUUCUCAAGAGUUCCUUGAACCUUUCCCCACGUCUGAAAUACUGCACUACAAUUCCAGCUCUAUAAAGGAUGAGAUCUCAUUUCUAAGCUU